UCACAGACCAGAGGGGUGGGUCGGUCACAGACCAGAGAGGUGGGUCAGUCACAGACCAGAGGGGUGGGUCGGUCACAGACCAGAGAGGUUGGUUGGAAGAGAGGUGGUUUGGUAGAGAGGUGGUUGGGUAGAGAGGUGGGUCAGUCACAGACCAGAGGGGUGGGUCGGUCACAGACCAGAGAGGUGGGUCAGUCACAGACCAGAGGGGUGGGUCAGUCACAGACCAGAGGGGUGGGUCGGUCACAGACCAGAGAGGUGGGUCAGUCACAGACCAGAGGGGUGGGUCGGAAGAGAGGUGGGUGGGUCGGUCACAGACCAGAGAGAUGGGUCAGUCACAGACCAGAGAGGUUGGUCGGAAGAGAGGUGGUUCAGGUAGAGAGGUGGUUUGAUAGAGAGGUGGUUUGGUAGAGAGGUGGGUCAGUCACAGACCAGAGGGGUGGGUCGGUCACAGACCAGAGAGGUGGGUCCGUCACAGACCAGAGAGGUUGGUUGGAAGAGAGGUGGUUCGGUAGAGAAGUGGUUGGGUAGAGAGGUGGGUCAGUAGAGAAGUGGUUGGGUAGAGAGGUGGGUCAGUCACAGACCAGAGAGGUGGGUCGGUCACAGACCAGAGAGGUGGGUCAGUCACAGACCAGAGAGGUUGGUUGGAAGAGAGGUGGUUCGGUAGAGAGGUGGUUUGGUAGAGAGGUGGGUCAGUCACAGACCAGAGGGGUGGGUCGGUCACAGACCAGAGAGGUGGGUCAGUCACAGACCAGAGGGGUGGGUCGGAAGAGAGAUGGUUCGUUAGAGAGGUGGUUUGGUAGAGAGGUGGGUCAGUCACAGACCAGAGAGGUGGGUCAGUCACAGACCAGAGAGGUUGGUUGGAAGAGAGGUGGUUCGUUAGAGAGGUGGUUGGGUAGAGUGGUGGGUCGGUCACAGACCAGAGAGGUGGGUCAGUCACAGACCAGAGGGGUGGGUCAGUCACAGACCAGAGAGGUGGGUCAGUCACAGACCAGAGAGGUGGGUCAGUCACAGACCAGAGAGGUGGGUCGGAAGAGAGGUGGUUGGGUAGAGAGGUGGUUUGGUAGAGAGGUGGUUUGGUAGAGAGGUGGGUCAGUCACAGACCAGAG